rnacentral:rRNA from 1 species
UACGAAGGGUGCAAACGUUGCUCGGAAUUAUUGGGCGUAAAGCGCACGUAGGCGGCUUUGCAAGUCGGAUGUGAAGUCCCUCGGCUUAACCAAGGAAGUGCAUCCGAAACUGCAGAGCUUGAGUACUUAAGAGGAUCGCGGAAUUCCCGGUGUAGAGGUGAAAUUCGUAGAUAUCGGGAGGAACACCAGUGGCGAAGGCGGCGAUCUGGGAAGAUACUGACGCUGAGGUGCGAAAGCGUGGGGAGCAAACAGG